CCUACGGGAGGCAGCAGUGAGGAAUAUUGGUCAAUGGACGAGAGUCUGAACCAGCCAAGUAGCGUGAAGGAUGACUGCCCUAUGGGUGGUAAACUUCUUUUAUAUGGGAGUAAAAUGUUCCGCGUGUGGGAUUUUGUAUGUACCAUAUGAAUAAGGAUCGGCUAACUCCGUGCCAGCAGCCGCGGUCAUACGGAGGAUCCGAGCGUUAUCCGGAUUGAUUGGGGUUAAAGGGAGCGUAGGGGGAUUGUUAAGUCAGUUGUGAAAGUUUGCGGCUCUACCGUAAAAUUGCAGUUGCAGCUGGCAGUCUUUAGUACAGGUGAGGUUGGCGGAAUUCGCGGUGUAGCGGUGAGAUGCUUA
rnacentral:rRNA from 1 species